AACGCAUCUUGCGCUCCUUGGUAUUCCGAGGAGCAUGCCUGUUUGAGUGUCAUUUAACUUCUCAAACCACAUCAGAUUGAUGUUGGCUUGGAUGUGGGGGUUGUUUUUGCAGGCUUUCUUGUAGAAGGUCGGCUCCCCUGAAAUGAAUUAGUGGUAUCUGAGGCUACUACUGUGGGUGUGAUAACUAUCUAUGCCUUUGGUAUGCCGCAUGAACAGAUUACACUGCUUCUAACAAAACAAAUGUUGAUAAAUUUGACCUCAAAUCAGGUAGGACUACCCGCUGAACUUAA
rnacentral:misc_RNA from 1 species